GCCCUGCCUCUCAAAACUAAAAGUUCAGAGUAGGGUUUACUCUUUCAUGGAAUUACUGUAGAGCAGCACACUGGGUUGUGCGCAUAAGCACACAUCUGGGGGGCUGCUGACCGAUUCUACCCUAACUGCUGACCCUAGUUAUGUUUCUCUAGGCAACCUCCAUGGCCCAUCUUCUAAACACGGGUCAUGUUCAAAGUGCACUGCACGAGCUGCCAGUGUGAAAAGAGCUGGGAUAUUUGUUAAAAUGCAGGUGUCCCCACUUUUACUUAACAGGGUAGUGGGCUCUACAUUUCUUUCACAUCCUCCACGUGGCACUAGGCCAGCCACUGGGGCUGUACCAAUCUCUCAGGCAAGGAGGCACCUUCCUGGGCCCCCGCUGCUCCGGGUCUGUCUGAGCUUUGCCUCCAGCCCCUCUAAGGGGUUGCGGUGGCUACUGGGCUUUCUAACCCAUGCUAGCCGGGGGUAACUGGACCUCUCCCUCCCCUGGGGCGCUUCACAGAAGCCACCCCUAAGCCCUGUCCCUAACCCGUCCAUUUCCACAACCAGGCCCGGCUGGGCCAAGGGCUGCAUCCAUGCGGGUGGGGCCAUCUGGCCACACACCCGGCAGUGACUCAGCUCUGGCGGGCGGCGCACUGCUCCAUGCCGUGCGGGGACAAAGCCGUGCCAUCACGCCGCACCUGCAGGCCGCCCAGCACCCCCACCCUCUCCUCGUGGGUAGGGGUGGAGGGGAGGGAGGCCCAGACUGUUGCCAGGCAGGCUGGGCCCGCGGCGGCUGCGGUUGGCUCCCGGUCGCUCGCCGCCCCCGCACCGCCUCCGCGCACUGAGUCACCCCGCCCCACCGGCCGCCGCCCCGUGGCUCCCACACCUCUGAGCCUGCGCAUACUGCUGCAUUUUCCCCUACCCCACCCCCGUCCCUGUCCUCGCCCCAUCCGCCGCUCCCGUGCGUGCGCGCGUGCGCGCGCGAACUAGGCGCCAGGCACUGGGAAAGGACGUCCGCGCUACUUUGUUGCCAUCGCAACGUCAGCUCAAUGGUACAGUGCUUGCAAACAUGGCCAAAGGCCUGACUGACCACCUGAAUCUUCACUUUUGGUGAUCGUGUGACACUGGGCAAUGGGAUUUAUUCUCUAAACGCCUGGGUUGCUCCGUCUGUAAAAUGGAGUUGCUCCCUGGGCUAUCUCAGGACUGUGUUGAGGAAGCAUAAGACAAUGCAGUAAGCCUCAGCUCCGUGGCUGACUUCCCUGGGGGGUGUCCUUGUUACUCGUCAAAAUCAUUGCCAGCUUGAGGCCCUGUCUGUGCGGUUUAACUUGGACUUCUCAGACCUGAAUACCUGGUUUACGCGCUCACAUGGCCUGAGGAAGAGCUACCCAACCAGGUAUGUUCAUGAUGGAUUCCUCCUUUGUCGGACUCUCCUAAGACCCCACCCAGAGACUACAUUAGAAACGAGAGGCAGUGGGUUAAAGCUUAUCACCUUCCUCAGGACUGUAGGGAGGCCACUUGCCCUCCCUGAGGCUCCCUGAACAACCCCUGCCACACAAUCUCUGAUGGAUGGCUCAGUACACAAGAUUUUUUUAAAGUUUAGAACAACAUCUCCUAAGAUUGCUCAAGGUUCUUUAUACAAGGGACUCUCUCAACAUCUCACCCCCAAACAAGAAUCUGAAGUCAGGACAAAUGCCUGAAACCUGGAGACUUCAUCCAGGCAGCCACCAUUCAUGAGGACAGGGAGACAAAGCUUCCUGGAGGCUGAUUUGCUUGAUCUUCUGUGUAAGUGGCAGAGCCGAGGAACCACAGGCAUUGAAGUGGAGGAGAUCAAAAUCUUAAUAGAUGGGGAAGCUGAGAGAUAGUCAGCAGCCAAACAAGAUGAAGUUUGGGAGGUCUUCGGUUCCUCAGAUAAUGCCACUGGGCUUCUCCAGUUUUACCUGCCAGAUCUCCGUGGGAAACUGCCAUCGCUAGUCCAAGUGCUAAAGGGUCCUGGAAGCUUGCAUGGCAGAGAAGAAAAUCUGUUCUGACCUCAUAGUUGCCAUCAGGUACAGCAAGGUUCCUAGACAUAUAAGGUCACCAUGCCUCCAAACAAGAAAUCGAGAAGAUGCUUACUGUGUUGGACAUGAGCGAAUAUCUGACGCAGCCAGACAUGGUGAUGCAGUUUUAAUGCCAGCACUUGGGAGGCAGAAGCAAGCAGUGAGUUCGAAGUCAGCUUGGUCUUGUAAGUACUUGUCUCAGAAGCAAACAAACCUGAUAUAAGCUACUUAAGUGUGGACCUGGGUACCAGAGGCUUUCCACGGAGAUCUCUGGUCCCGCCAGGUGCGAGUGUUCCCGUGAAGGGAAGCCUGUGCAGGCAGGGAGGGGAAGUCGCUUCCACCGCUGCUUCUGCGGUUGGCUCCAUCUCCGUCUCUGCCCUGCCUCUAGGUUACUCCGUUACAGCAGUGCGCUGCCCUGUACUGAGUCCGGUAGGGCUAGGUCAACCAGAGGCUGACUAGCCAGUGAGGAGUGCGGCAGAGCGUCAGGCGGCGUUUCGGAAGAGCAGACCUCUUCCCAAGUGUAUGGCUCUUUGGACAGAAGGCUGGGACCCAGGGGUAGUUCUCGCACCCCUAAUCCUCCCAGAUAGGAUUCUUAUAUACAGUUUUGGGGUGGGUAAGGGUCUGACAACAGGCACUUCUCAUUGGUUUGUCUGAGAGCUUUGGGGAAACCUUAUUUGCAUGUGGAAGGAGGUGACUAAUGGCUACAUACAUCUCUGCAGGGGGCUGUGGGAGGCUGUAGCAGUGACAGGAGCCAGGGGCCCAGGAGGCAUGGUCAAACACCUUCUGUCCUAUGCAGGUGGAAAUCACCACCCACUGGGUCACAGGGGUUCCAAACCUUUGUUCGACCAGGGAUCAGGCUGUCUGUGCACAGCCCACCACCUCACACACUCAAUCAGAGUGGGGGUGAAGUUGAGGAGCAACUUUAUUUCAAGGGAAACAGGAAACGGGGGAUAAAGGAGGGGCCAGGAGAAGGGAGAGCCUUGUGGUAGUUUAAGUGAGAAAUGCUCUCCCCUAGCCUCAGGUCCUCAGGGGACCUCAGGUCCUCACUGGGGAACGGGCAGCCUGGUGGGGGCAGUACGCUGCUGGGGGCACUGGGGAUGGGGCAGUCUGGUGGGGGCAGCCUGGUGGGGGUCGGGUGGGCUGAGAGUUUACAGCUUCGCCUCCCAUUGAGUAUGUUGCACUUUUGGGUAAAGAAGUGAACACCCAGCUUCUUGUUCCUGCUACCAUGCCUGCCGGCCACUUGGACUCUCCCUCUAGAACCAGAAGCCAAAAUAAACUUUCUCCAUUGA